GAGAAAGAGGGUUACCUCCCUUUAGUUGUAAUCCCAAUACAGUGGACGAGCAGAGAAGCUACAUGUACAAGAGUGAUAUCACAAGGCAACCAGAAUACAACAGUCCAGGCGGGAAGUGAUGUUGUAUUAGAGUGUACAGGUGCGGGUUCAGCUAGAGGCACCUGAUACAAAACUGACAAGCAGCGGGGCUAUAUUGCGUAUGUGGUGCUCAACGACGGGUUAUGCAACAUACACCAAGAACCAAAAUCGCUGCCUGGCCUAUCAUUGGGAAAUGAAGACUGCGCUAAACAUGCUCUGAAAAUAUCCAACAUCAGCAAGGAGCACGAGGGAAUAUGGAAAUGUUAUAUCAGUAACUCCACCAAGACGCACCAUCUCCAUGUUAUGGCAUCGCCUGCAGAAACAACAACUGUAAAAACAACGAGUCUCUCAUCGUUGACAACACCAAUAUCAGAAUCAACAUCCCACGUCACUACUACGGCUGGUGUCCCUGGCUCUACUCCUGAUUCAACUACUUAGUCGCCAGCCCCUGCCACGGAUACAAGCAGUGCUGGGUAUACGACUGAAAGCAGAACCCAGGACUCGGUAAAUCCCCAAACACCAUCUGUGACUUCCAUGAUAACCAUCCUAGGUGGAACUGUUGGUGGCGCACUGGUCCUACUGGCUGCUAUCAUCACCGUCUGCUGUUUACUUCGAUCAAAGAAAGAAAAACAAAACAAUGGCUGUAAGUACUGUAUUGUGUACCAGGGAGUGAUGGAGCGAGUUUUCUUUAAUGACGCUUCCAAUAGGAUUUCACAGGCUACGUGGUGUUCAUAUGACGUGCACGGGUUGUCUCCAACGCCACUUUUAGCAGUGUUCAAGUUGUCUCACGUCGUGUCAGCUUCAUGUGUGCGUGCGUGCGUGCGUGCGUGCGUGCAUGUGCGUGUGUGUUCGUGUGGGUGUGUGUGUGAGAGGCCGAGGUCAUGUCUGUCAUGAACGUUUAUCACUUUGGUGAAACUCACGAGUACAGGUACUGUCACACCUAUACAUUUUAGUGUGAACAACUAGGAUUCGAACCCAAAUUUCUAGGUUUCACGGUCCCGAGAUCUAGUGACACAACCCUGCCACCAGUGCCACCUUUAUGUAAGAGGCCGUGCAGGUAAAUGAUGGAGGUGUGUGUGUUUAGGUUCAUGAUGAUAAAACUGAAUAUCUGUUAUAUCAGGGAAUGUCAAUGAGCUGUGGCUAAAGUGAUUGAUUUGGUUUGGUUUAAUGCUAAUUUAAAAUGGAUUUCAAUUUUAUCAGUGUAUCAGAUUAUUGUGGAUUAAGGCCUCAAGUUAUGGAUGUCUUAGACGUUUUGCACUACGUUGAAACCGAGGCUUCGAAGUUCCUCCGGCUCCUGGAAUGCCAAGGGGCCGUAAUUCUGUACUGCGAGUUAGGGUGGAUGCAAAAUAUAGUUUAUGUCAUCGUUCACUUUGAUUAACCUAUUCUCAAAUUUCAGCAUCGCUAUACACUUCCCCUGCUACUAACACUAUCCGUUUCCCCAUUUAUUCAACAGUGUAUAAAUAGCUUAUAAAAGAGAAACCUGUAAAGAUAGUAAUUCAGUACUGAUGAUCUCUGUCUAGUGUUGUUCUGUUUAUAUUUCCUCAGCAGCUCGGGGGCUUGUCAAUGGGGAUCAUAGGUAUGUAUACAGAUAUCUCUUAAUUAUCAGAUUAUGGAAAGA
rnacentral:lncRNA from 1 species